GCCAGCAUCGCAUAACCUGGUAGUGCGGUCGCCUCGAAAGCGACUGGGCUUUGCCCUUGUAGGUUCGAAUCCUGCUGCUGGCG
rnacentral:tRNA from 1 species